UACGGGGGGUGCAAGCGUUGUCCGGAAUCACUGGGCGUAAAGGGCGUGUAGGUGGUCUGGUAAGUUUGUGGUGAAAGCACGGGGCUCAACCCCGUGUCUGCCGCGGAUACUGCUAGACUCGAGUGCUGUAGGGGCUGGUAGAAUGCCGGGUGUAGCGGUGGAAUGCGUAGAGAUCCGGCAGAAGACCGGUGGCGAAGGCGGCCAGCUGGGCAGUAACUGACACUGAGGCGCGACAGCGUGGGGAGCAAACAGG
rnacentral:rRNA from 1 species